rnacentral:misc_RNA from 1 species
UCAAUGAUAAUCUCCUCUUAUCUGGUACUCUUCGAACUUUUUCUUUUGAGCUUGUUUGUCUUCGAAAUUAUUUAUUAUCUGUAUUGAGUCCGAAUUUAUUAACUCCCUUUUGGCUUGUUUUGAGAAUAGGCUUUAUUUAACUAGUUAUACUGGGCAUGCUGGAUUCGAAUUUGAAUGCCUUUCAGGAAUGUUCUUAGUGUUCUUUGGGAGUUUUUAAUUGAUAAUUAUUCCUCUUUUUUAUUAUGUGCGAAUAUUAGCAAUUGGCCACCUGCUCACACUUGGGUCUUUGUAUUCAUUUAAUUAAUUUUUUUGCUUCUUCCAUAUUCAACACUCUAAUUUCUAAUAUUUGUAAUCUUAAGUAUUUACAUGUUGGAUUUGAAUUCCCUUCUUUUUGUGGGUGGAAAAAUUGUAGUUAGCUUGGUUUUGUCAGAACUCUUCUGGGAAGAUUCUAGUUUGUUGAGAUUGGAUUUUCUUAAAGGCCUUUAUAAUGCAGUUAUGGUUUAUAUUGUGCUUAGUUUUGCUGACAUGGUAAUGCCAUUUGCUAUGUUUUGGUAAAUUUGGAAAAUAGAUUAUAAUUUGCUUGAGGAAAUG